GUCGAACGCUGGCGGCGUGCUUAACACAUGCAAGUCGAACGGAAAGGCCCUGCUUGCAGGGUUCUCGAGUGGCGAACGGGUGAGUAACACGUGGGUGAUCUGCCCUGCACUUCGGGAUAAGCCUGGGCAACUGGGUCUAAUACCUGAUAGGUGCCAUUUUUAGUGUGAUGGUUGGAAAGUUUUUUCGGUGUAGGAUGAGCUGGCGGCCUAUCAGCUUGUUGGUGGGGUAAUGGCCUACCAAGGCGGCGACGGGUAGCCGGCCUGAGAGGGUGGACGGCCACAGUGGGACUGAGAUACGGCCCAGACAGCUACGGGAGGCAGCAGUGGGGAAUAUUGCACAAGGAGCGCAGGCCUGAUGCAGCGACGCCGCGUGGGGGAUGACGGCCUUCGGGUUGUAGAAUCCUUGCGCUAGGGACGAAGCUUUUUGUGACGGUACCUAGAGAAGAAGCACCGGCUAACUACGUG
rnacentral:rRNA from 1 species